rnacentral:lncRNA from 1 species
CCUGGGCCAGGACUGGGCAGCAUGGUGAAACCGCUUCCCUACAAAAAAAAUACGAAAAUUAGCUUGGCAUAGUGGCACACAUCUGUACUACCAACUACUUGAGAGGCUGAGGUGGGAGGGUCACUUGAGCCCGGGAGGUUGAGGCUACAGUGAGCCAGGAUCAUGCCACUGGACCCUAACCUGGGCGACAGAGCAAACUCUGUCUCAUAAAUAAAUAAAUAAAAUAAAAAUAAUUCAUAGAGGAAGUUCUUAUUUACUCUCAUGCUUUUAAAAUAUUUCAUCUGAGUGGGAAAUUAUCCAGAGAAUAUGGGAUACAAAAAAAGAAAACAAUUUCUUCUGGGACUUCUAAUUUCCCAGUGACUAAAUAUUUUAUACUAGAAUAUCUGCACAGUCAAAGUAAUGUCAAGAUAUAAAUUAACUCUCUUAAGAAGAGACUCCUACAGUAAUCGGUGAGCUUGAAAGGAAUACAUCUAUAUCUUGGCACACAGAAUAACUUCAGGAUAUUAGUAUAAAUUAUCAACAAUUCUCAUUAAGUUCAGAAGGAACUAGUACUAUUUUGUUGCUAUUUUUAGCAUCUAAAUCAUAUAAUUCUUUAAAAUAAAAUCAUAACAGUAGAAGUAUUAGCUUAAGGCAACUUAUGCAACAUAAGUAGUCUGAGUUAAAGGAAAUGUUUAAAGGGACCGGAACCCAGGAGGCGGAGAUUGCAAUGAGCCAAGAUCAUGUCAUUGCACUCCAACCUGGUAACAGAGCAAGACUCUGUCUCAAAAAAACAAAACACACACCCAAAAAAAACAAAACAAAAUGUGUUAGCAAAUUUCCCAGUGAAUUUAGCACCACCUCUUUCAAAGACCAGCUUUUGGACCUAACUCAGCCUGGGGAAGGAACAAAGUGCAGUCUUUUCUGAGACUGCAGACAGCCCCACAAUUUCCCAGGAACUUCUGAGAAAUUAUUCAAAGCCUGAGAGGGACUGGCAAACAGGAGAGAUGAAAGGACUACACAGAAAGUAUGGGGAUGGGAUGGGAGAAAGGGGCAGAGGCUGAAGGUCAGGGCUUCCAGAAGAGACUAUUUUCACAGGCUGAAGGUGUUGAGCUGAGGAAGUUAGGGUGGGGCUGGUAGCAAAGAAAAUAACAAUUAAGCACACAAAGGGAGCUAACUGAUCAUUGAACAGCACCCUUCUGCUUUGCUCUUACAAAAAGCAGUAACAGGCAUCGCACGCAUUAGCCAGCCAUCGCCCUGCACUGCUGGGC